GUGGUGGCUCAGUGGUAGAGCACUUGCCUCACAUGUAUGAGGCACUGGGUUCGAUUCUCAGCACCACA
rnacentral:tRNA from 1 species